GGGGCUGUAGCUCAGUUGGUCAGAGCACCUGCUUUGCAAGCAGGGGGUCAGGAGUUCGACUCUCCUCAGCUCCACCA
rnacentral:tRNA from 1 species